rnacentral:rRNA from 1 species
AUUGAACGCUGGCGGCAUGCUUUACACAUGCAAGUCGAACGGUAACAGGCCGCUAGGUGCUGACGCUUGGCUAACGGGCGAGUAAUGCACCGGAACGUGCCCAGUCGUGGGGGAUAACUACUCGUAAGAGUAGCUAAUACCGCAUCCGAUCUAUGGAUGAAAGCGGGGGACCGGAAGGCCUCGCGCGGUUGGAUCGGGCGAUGUUGGAUUAGGUUGUUCGUGGGGUAAAGGUUCACCAAGCCAACGAUCUGUAGCUGGUGUGAGAGGACGACGACCCGCACUGGGACUGAAACACGGCCCAGACUCCUACGAGAGGCAGCAGUGGGGAAUUUUGGGCAGUGGGCGCAAGCCUUGUCCAGCAAGGCCGCGUGCAAGAAGACGGCGUUCGGGGUGUAAACUGCUUUUGUACGGAGCAAAACGGCUCUGGUUAAUACCCGGGGCUAAUGACGGUACCGUAAGAAUAAGCACCGGCUAACUACGUG